rnacentral:rRNA from 1 species
UACGUAGGGGGCAAGCGUUGUCCGGAAUUAUUGGGCGUAAAGCGCGCGCAGGCGGCGAUUUAAGUUUGGUGUUUAAGCCCGGAGCUCAACUCCGGUUCGCACUGAAAACUGGAUCGCUUGAGUGCAGGAGAGGGAAGUGGAAUUCCACGUGUAGCGGUGAAAUGCGUAGAGAUGUGGAGGAACACCAGUGGCGAAGGCGACUUCCUGGCCUGUAACUGACGCUGAGGCGCGAAAGCGUGGGGAGCAAACA